CUCACUGUAGAAGUAUAGCCGUUGAGAUAUACACCCACAGCAUAGGUCAACACGGAGAUAUAUACAAUCGCUAUCGCUAACUGAGAACCAGGAAUCAGCUAAACUAACAAAGCUGCUUGAUCCACGGCGUCGAGACUACCACCAUCACAUCCCUGCAUUUGGAUUAUUGCCAGCAAGAAUAAGAGAAAUCUCCAACCCUCUGCUGAAAGCCUGGUUGAACAGAAGACGCGUCUGGAAGGUAGAUAUGAAUGGAAACCAUGAGCAGAUGGCUAUGGGAACAAAAAUGAUCAUCCCCAUGCCAGCGUCAUAAAGGCGAGCUAGGGAGCGCACUGUCUUCCACAAACCCAAUUUCUUCACAAUCGGUUUCCACGCCACAGCAAUCUGUAAACAAAAAAAAAGGCCAAAUAAGGUUUGCAGCGUACACAAGUGUACGAAGAUUUGACUAGUCAAUCCGAAUGCUAAGAGUUGACUGGUCAAGAGGAAACAAAGGGAGUGUUUGCAAAAAAAAAAGGCUUAUAUGCAAUAAUUCAGAGUUUCAGGAAGUGUUUGCCAAGCGAAGGAAAGCCAGACUAAACACUGGCAAUAUUUCAUGGAUAUACAAGCUGGCAGAACAAACUCACCGAAAGAAUUCCCCACCCAGUUGGCACAAAUGCUAGAAUGGAAGCAAAUACAUCUUUGACACUGAGGGCAGUAAACACAGUAGCCACGAUCAAACCAGCCAAAAC
rnacentral:lncRNA from 1 species